AGCUACAUAAGAGCGUAUGGGGAAUGCCUAGGCUCUCAGAGGCGAUGAAGGACGUGAUAAGCUGCGAAAAGCUACGGGGAUUGGCACAUACAAAUUGAUCCGUAGAUAUCCGAAUGGGGCAACCCAGCAUAUUGAAGAUAUGUUAUCCGCAAGGAGGCGAACCCGGAGAACUGAAACAUCUAAGUACCCGGAGGAGAAGAAAACAAAAGUGAUUCCGAUAGUAGCGGCGAGCGAAAUCGGAUUAGCCCAAACCAGUAUUGUUACGGCAAUGCUGGGGUUGUAGGACCACGAUAUUUGAUGCGUAAUGAAUUAGAACACUUUGGAAAAAGUGACCAUAGAGGGUGAUAGUCCCGUAUAAGUAAAGAUCGUUAUUGAUAGUGGUAUCCUGAGUAGUGCGGGGCACGUGAAACCCUGUAUGAAUUUGGCGGGACCAUCCGUUAAGGCUAAAUACUCCUGAGAGACCGAUAGUGAACUAGUACCGUGAGGGAAAGGUGAAAAGAACCUUGAAUAAAGGAGUGAAAAAGAUCCUGAAACCAUACGCUUACAAGCGGUCGGAGCCCUUUGGGGUGACGGCGUGCCUUUUGCAUAAUGAGCCUACGAGUUACCGUUGCUAGCAAGGUUAAGGACUUCAGGUCCGCAGCCGUAGCGAAAGCGAGUCUGAAUAGGGCGCUUUAGUUAGUAGUGGUAGACGCGAAACCGUGUGAUCUACCCAUGGGCAGGGUGAAGCUGUGGUAACACACAGUGGAGGCCCGAACCGGUUGACGUUGAAAAGUCUUCGGAUGACCUGUGGGUAGGGGUGAAAGGCCAAUCAAACUCGGAAAUAGCUCGUACUCCCCGAAAUGCAUUUAGGUGCAGCGUUGAUUUAUAGUUUUAUAGAGGUAGAGCUACUGAUUGGAUGCGGGGGCUUCACCGCCUACCAAUUCCUGACAAACUCCGAAUGCUAUAAAAUGUUAAUCAGCAGUGAGGGCAUGGGUGCUAAGGUCCAUGUCCGAGAGGGAAAGAACCCAGACCAUCAGCUAAGGUCCCCAAAUAUAUGUUAAGUUGAAUAAACGAGGUUGAACUGCUUAGACAGCUAGGAUGUUGGCUUGGAAGCAGCCAUUCAUUUAAAGAGUGCGUAACAGCUCACUAGUCGAGCGGUUCGGCAUGGAUAAUAAUCGGGCAUAAACAUAUUACCGAAGCUAUGGACUUGUAAAAGUGGUAGGGGAGCAUUGUAGUGUCGUCGAAGGUUUGCUGUGAGGCAUUCUGGAGAAGCUACAAAAGAAAAUGUAGGCAUAAGUAACGAUAAUGCGGGCGAGAAACCCGCACACCGAAAGACUAAGGUUUCCUCAGCUAUGCUAAUCAGCUGAGGGUUAGUCGGGACCUAACGCGAACCCGAAAGGGGAAGUGGAUGGACAACAGGUUAAUAUUCCUGUACCUGCUCACACUAAAAGUGACGGAGGCGUGUAUUUGGUGCGUACUGACGGAAUAGUACGUUGAAGCGAGUAGUAAUACCGCGAUAGUACACUGAGGCUACGGCCAAGGUGAUAAUCCAGAGAAGCGACUUCCAAGAAAAGCGAGUGAAGCAGCCCGUACCCUAAACCGACACAGGUAGUUGGGAUGAGAAUUCUAAGGUGCUCGAGAGAUUCAUGGCUAAGGAACUAGGCAAAAUCGGCCCGUAACUUCGGGAGAAGGGUCGCCCACAGCAAUGUGGGCCGCAGUGAAAAGGUCCAGGCGACUGUUUAUCAAAAACACAGGGCUCUGCGAAGCCGCAAGGCGACGUAUAGGGUCUGACGCCUGCCCGGUGCCUGAAGGUUAAAAGGAGGGGUGAGAGCUCUGAAUUGAAGCCCAGGUAAACGGCGGCCGUAACUAUAACGGUCCUAAGGUAGCGAAAU
rnacentral:rRNA from 1 species